UUCUGUCGUUUUCAAAUAAGGGAACGAACCGACUAACCCAGACGCAGAGAGGAGAGAGCCGGAGAAAGAGCAGAUGGGAGCGUGAGAAGAAGGUACUUGCAAGUGCUAAUGGUGUGAUCGGAGAGACGGGAUAUCGACGAUGAGGCAAAAGAAGAUAUUUGGAUAAGGGGAUGGAGAAGGCGAGAGAAAUCAAUUGCGUUUCUGUUCCAUCCGAGCUGGUGAGACUGAGGCGCAUCGGCACCUUCAUUAAACAUAUCUAAUUCUCCCAUUGAUAAGCUGAUUUAGCUUCAACUUUGGAAUUGAUAUUCAACUGAUGCUUAAAAUGUCUGGACCUUGAGUUUGAACUGUUAUAUAUUAGAGAAUCAGAUUCAAAUUUCUGCAAGAUAGAACUUAAUUUGUCCAGGUAGAGCAUAAAUAUAUAUGCGUAUAUCGAUUAAAUAGGAAUAUUUGGUGUUUUCAUUACAGAUAUAUGUCUACAUACGCGGAAAAAUCAGAAUGGCCAUCAUUUGUUUUUUCCCCCUCUCCUGUGCAUGGCAAAGCAACUAAAAAAUAGAGGGGCAAAGCUUUACAAAUUAGCAAAUAACAAAUAGAAGGUGAGUCCUGCAUUCUCCAAGUGAUAAUUUUGCAUAUUUAAUUUAAGUUUUUUUUUUCUUUGUUAAAAAAACCAGUUGUUAUUAAGUGACAUAGGGACUAGGAGUGUUCAAAAGUGCGAGUAUAUUAAGGUAUACGAGAUGAUAAUAGAAGCACAGGACCUAAACUCAUUUCAAAUUUUAAUGGACUUCCAUUAAUAGUUUAGAUGGUGGGGUUUUUGGGAAGUGCCUUUGGAGAAGAUACUCUCCUGUGUCUAUUGCCUUAGGCUAAGCGAAACACAUAUGCAUUGAUUGGGAUCAGGGAUAUACAAG
rnacentral:lncRNA from 1 species